rnacentral:rRNA from 1 species
CUAAAGGGUCAUAUGUUAAAAGAUACGGCUUAACCGUAGAGAUGCGUAUGAAACCGUUAGACUUGAGGGUAGCAGAGGAAAAGGGAAUUACCACUGUAGGGGUGAAAUCCGUAGAGAGUGGUAAGAAUGCCGGUGGCGAAGGCGCUUUUCUGGGUUACACCUGACGCUGAGGCCCGAAAGCCAGGGGAGCGAACCGGAUUAGAUACCCGGGUAGUCCUGGCCGUAAACGAUGCUCACUAGGUGUAGUAGGUCGACAGGCCUGCUGUGCUGAAGCAAACGCGAUAAGUGAGCCGCCUGGGGAGUACGUCCGCAAGGAUGAAACUCAAAGGAAUUGACGGGGGCCCGCACAAGCGGUGGAGCGUGUGGUUCAAUUCGAAGCUAAGCGAAGAACCUCACCAGGUCUUGACAUAUAAGUGGUAGUGAAGGGAAACCGGAACGACUCUGGCUUUGCCAGAGAGCUUAUACAGGUGGUGCAUGGUCGUCGUCAGCUCGUGCCGUGAGGUGUUGGGUUAAGUCCCGCAACGAGCGCAACCCCUGUUAUUAGUUGCCAGCACGAAGGUGGGCACUCUAAUAAGACUGCCGUCGAAGAGACGGAGGAAGGAGGGGACGACGUCAGAUCAUCAUGCCCCUUAUGAUCUGGGCUACACACGCGCUACAAUGGGUUAGUCAACGGGCGAAGCCGCGAGGCGGAGGGAAUCCUGAAACUAACCCCCAGUUCAGAUUGCAGGCUGCAACCCGCCUGCAUGAAGCCGGAAUCGC